rnacentral:rRNA from 1 species
AAUGAACGCUGGCGGCGCGCCUAAUACAUGCAAGUCGAGCGAGAAGACGUAGCAAUACGUUUGUAAAGCGGCGAACGGGUGAGGAAUACAUGGGUAACCUACCCUCGAGUGGGGAAUAACUAGCCGAAAGGUUAGCUAAUACCGCGUACGCUUCUUGGACUUCGGUUCAGGGAGGAAAGCGAUGCCGAGGGUAUCGCGCUCCUGGAUGGGCUCAUGUCCUAUCAGCUUGNGGUGAGGUAACGGCUCACCAAGGCUUCGACGGGUAGCUGGUCUGAGAGGACGAUCAGCCACACUGGCACUGCGACACGGGGCCAGACUCCUACGGGAGGCAGCAGUAAGGAAUAUUGCGCAAUGGGCGAAAGCCUGACGCCAGCGACGCCGCGUGGGGGAUGAAGGUCUUCGGAUUGUAAACCCCUUUCGGGAGGG